rnacentral:rRNA from 1 species
AGCAGCCGCGGUAAUUCCAGCUCCAAUAGCGUAUAUUAAAGUUGUUGCAGUUAAAAAGCUCGUAGUUGAAUUUCGGGAUCAGUACGCUGGUCGUGCCUUUGGUAUGUACUGGUGUCACUGAUUCCUCCCUUCUGAAGAACCGUUAUGCCAUUUAUUUGGUGUGGCGGGGAAUCAGGACUGUUACUUUGAAAAAAUUAGAGUGUUUAAAGCAGGCUCGCGCUUGAAUACAUUAGCGUGGAAUAAUGAAAUAGGACGUUUGAUUCUAUUUUGUUGGUUUCUAGGAUCGACGUAAUGAUUAAUAGGGAUAGUUGGGGGCAUUAGUAUUCAAUUGUCAGAGGUGAAAUUCUUGGAUUUAUUGAAGACUAACUACUGCGAAAGCAUUUGCCAAGGAUGUUUUCAUUAAUCAAGAACGAAAGUUAGGGGAUCGAAGACGAUCAGAUACCGUCGUAG